GCCCUGGUAUUCCAAUCGGUAGAGAAAGCGGUCUCAAAAUCCGUACAGUGUGGGUUCGAGUCCCACCCAGGGCA
rnacentral:tRNA from 1 species